UAUGUACUCCCUCCGUCCGGAAUUACUUGUCAUCAAAAUGGAUGUGUCUAGAACUAAAAUACAUCUAGAUACAUCCAUUUCAAUGACAAGUAUUUCUGGACGGAGGGAAUACAUC
rnacentral:pre_miRNA from 1 species